CUGUCAGUUAAUUUUUUUGACACAUUAUAAAAUUAUUUGUAUUAUUUCACUUUAUGAAUACUUGUUCUGAAUACUUGUAAAAUAGCAAAUAGAUAUCUGAAAAUGGAUGACAGAUUAUUCCGCUUUACGAGGCUCACAAUAUGCACCAUAAUCAUUGCUCACUGCAUUAAAGCUCUAAAAGGAUUCUAAAAACAAAUGUUAUCGAAGAUGUGAAACAAUCAACUUUUUGUAAAAAAAA
rnacentral:lncRNA from 1 species